rnacentral:rRNA from 1 species
GACGAACGCUGGCGGCGUGCUUAACACAUGCAAGUCGAACGGAAAGGCCCUGCGCUUGUGGGGUGCUCGAGUGGCGAACGGGUGAGUAACACGCGAGUAACCUGCCCCUGACUGUGGGAUAUCUUUAGGAAACUGGGGCUAAUACCGGAUAGGAUCUCUUGCUGCACGGUGGGGGUUGGAAAGUUUCGGCGGUUGGGGAUGGACUCGCGGCUUACCAGCUUGAUGGUGGGGUAGUGGCGUACCAAGGCUAUGACGGGUAGCCGGCCUGGGCGGGUGGCCGGCCACCUUACGACUACGGUACGGCCCAGACUCCUACGGGAGGCAGCGGUGGAGAAUAUUGCACAAUGAGCGCAAGCCUGAUACAGCAGCGCCGCGUGCGGAAUGACGGCCUUCGGGUUAUGAACCACUUUCGCCUGUGACAAGGCGUGAGUGACGGUAAUGAGUAAGAAAGCCCCGGCUAACUACGUG